CCGGAAGGAGUGUAGCGGCUGCCUCAGCGGCGGCGACGGAGCCCGCAGCUGCGGCUUCUGAAGAACCUUUUGAAACAGAUGGUCACCAUGUUUAGAUAUUAGCAGUCCCGUAUGUGCAUGUCUGCGUUUGAAAAUGGCAGAGGGAAACAGCAAUGAAGAGGUGAUUCACUUGAACAACUUUCACUGCCAUCGGGGACAAGAGUGGAUCAAUCUCAGAGAUGGGCCCAUCACCAUAUCUGACUCCUCAGAUGAGGAAGGGAUUCCAAUGCUGGUCACCCCAGCUCCUCAGCAGCAUGAAGAAGAGGACCUGGAUGAUGAUGUCAUCCUGACAGAAGUGAGUUUUCUUUAAACUUACAUUGAGA